GCGAGGGUGGCGGAAUUGGCAGACGCGCCAGGUUUAGGUCCUGGUGUCUUUGGACGUGCAGGUUCGAGUCCUGUCCCUCGCA
rnacentral:tRNA from 1 species